rnacentral:rRNA from 1 species
UACGAAGGGUGCAAGCGUUACUCGGAAUUACUGGGCGUAAAGCGUGCGUAGGUGGUUCGUUAAGUCUGAUGUGAAAGCCCUGGGCUCAACCUGGGAAUGGCAUUGGAAACUGGCGACCUAGAGUGCGGUAGAGGGUAGUGGAAUUCCCGGUGGUAGCAGUGAAAUGCGUAGAGAUCGGGAGGAACAUCCGUGGCGAAGGCGACUACCUGGACCAGCACUGACACUGAGGCACGAAAGCGUGGGGAGCAAACAGG